rnacentral:rRNA from 1 species
GGCGAACGGGUGAGUAACACGUGAGUAACCUGCCCUUGACUUUGGGAUAACUUCAGGAAACUGGGGCUAAUACCGGAUAGGAGCUCCUGCUGCAUGGUGGGGGUUGGAAAGUUUCGGCGGUUGGGGAUGGACUCGCGGCUUAUCAGCUUGUUGGUGGGGUAGUGGCUUACCAAGGCUUUGACGGGUAGCCGGCCUGAGAGGGUGAUCGGCCACACUGGAACUGAGACACGGUCCAG